AGAGUUUGAUCCUGGCUCAGAUUGAACGCUGGCGGCAGGCCUAACACAUGCAAGUCGAGCGGUAGCACAGAGAGCUUGCUCUCGGGUGACGAGCGGCGGACGGGUGAGUAAUGUCUGGGAAACUGCCUGAUGGAGGGGGAUAACUACUGGAAACGGUAGCUAAUACCGCAUAAUGUCGCAAGACCAAAGUGGGGGACCUUCGGGCCUCAUGCCAUCAGAUGUGCCCAGAUGGGAUUAGCUAGUAGGUGGGGUAACGGCUCACCUAGGCGACGAUCCCUAGCUGGUCUGAGAGGAUGACCAGCCACACUGGAACUGAGACACGGUCCAGACUCCUACGGGAGGCAGCAGUGGGGAAUAUUGCACAAUGGGCGCAAGCCUGAUGCAGCCAUGCCGCGUGUGUGAAGAAGGCCUUCGGGUUGUAAAGCACUUUCAGCGGGGAGGAAGGCGUUAAGGUUAAUAACCUUGGCGAUUGACGUUACCCGCAGAAGAAGCACCGGCUAACUCCGUGCCAGCAGCCGCGGUAAUACGGAGGGUGCAAGCGUUAAUCGGAAUUACUGGGCGUAAAGCGCACGCAGGCGGUCUGUCAAGUCGGAUGUGAAAUCCCCGGGCUCAACCUGGGAACUGCAUUCGAAACUGGCAGGCUAGAGUCUUGUAGAGGGGGGUAGAAUUCCAGGUGUAGCGGUGAAAUGCGUAGAGGUCUGGAGGAAUACCGGUGGCGAAGGCGGCCCCCUGGACAAAGACUGACGCUCAGGUGCGAAAGCGUGGGGAGCAAACAGGAUUAGAUACCCUGGUAGUCCACGCCGUAAACGAUGUCGAUUUGGAGGUUGUGCCCUUGAGGCGUGGCUUCCGGAGCUAACGCGUUAAAUCGACCGCCUGGGGAGUACGGCCGCAAGGUUAAAACUCAAAUGAAUUGACGGGGGCCCGCACAAGCGGUGGAGCAUGUGGUUUAAUUCGAUGCAACGCGAAGAACCUUACCUGGUCUUGACAUCCACAGAACUUUCCAGAGAUGGAUUGGUGCCUUCGGGAACUGUGAGACAGGUGCUGCAUGGCUGUCGUCAGCUCGUGUUGUGAAAUGUUGGGUUAAGUCCCGCAACGAGCGCAACCCUUAUCCUUUGUUGCCAGCGGUCCGGCCGGGAACUCAAAGGAGACUGCCAGUGAUAAACUGGAGGAAGGUGGGGAUGACGUCAAGUCAUCAUGGCCCUUACGACCAGGGCUACACACGUGCUACAAUGGCAUAUACAAAGAGAAGCGACCUCGCGAGAGCAAGCGGACCUCAUAAAGUAUGUCGUAGUCCGGAUUGGAGUCUGCAACUCGACUCCAUGAAGUCGGAAUCGCUAGUAAUCGUAGAUCAGAAUGCUACGGUGAAUACGUUCCCGGGCCUUGUACACACCGCCCGUCACACCAUGGGAGUGGGUUGCA
rnacentral:rRNA from 1 species